GAGUUUGAUCGUGGCUCAGAUUGAACGCUGGCGGUAUGCUUAACACAUGCAAGUCGAACGGUAACAGGCUAGCUUGCUAGCGCUGACGAGUGGCGGACGGGUGCGUAACGCGUAGGAAUCUGCCUAUUAGUGGGGGACAACCUGGUGAAAACCAGGCUAAUACCGCAUACGCCCUACGGGGGAAAGCAGGGGAUCUUCGGACCUUGCGCUAAUAGAUGAGCCUGCGUUAGAUUAGCUUGUUGGUGAGGUAAUGGCUCACCAAGGCGACGAUCUAUAGCUGGUCUGAGAGGACGAUCAGCCACACUGGGACUGAGACACGGCCCAGACUCCUACGGGAGACAGCAGUGGGGAAUAUUGGACAAUGGGCGGAAGCCUGAUCCAGCAAUACCGCGUGUGUGAAGAAGGCCUGAGGGUUGUAAAGCACUUUCAAUUGGGAGGAAAACAGGACAGGUUAAUAUCCUGUCUCUUGACAUUACCUUUAGUAAGAAGCACCGGCUAACUCCGU
rnacentral:rRNA from 1 species